CUUGUCGGUAAACCCUAGUUCACCACUGCCGUUUCAGACGCAUCUUCUGCCUCCAAUUGCCGAUCCUAGACAGACGAAUGGGAACUGAAGAAUGCGUGUUAAUUAAUCUUGAUAGCAUGGUGAUUGUUCAUAGGAAUGAGAUCUGCGAAUGCAGAUAAAAUGGUGGCUGAAAAGGUGGUGGAACUAUGCUGGAAAGAGGUUACACCGCAAAAUGAUUUAAUUUUUGCUGUCAAAAAGCUUCAUAUAUUAAGUUCUAAGGAUCUUGGCAAGCUAAUAAGAG